UACGUAGGGGGCGAGCGUUGUCCGGAGUCACUGGGCGUAAAGCGCACGCAGGCGGUCUGUUAAGUUUGGAGUGACAGUUGGUGGCUUAACUGCCAAAGUGCUUCGAAAACUGACAGACUUGAGGGCUUCAGAGGGACGCGGAAUUCCGGGUGGAGUGGUGAAAUGCGUAGAGAUCCGGAGGAACACCAACGGCGAAAGCGCUCUGCUGGGCCGACACUGACACUGAGAGACGAAAGCUAGGGGAGCGAAUGGG
rnacentral:rRNA from 1 species